GGCGCCUGCCCUGAUCCAGCCAUGCCGCGUGCAGGAAGAAGNAUCUAUGGUGUGUAAACUGCUUUUGUACNGGAAGAAACACUCCCUCGUGAGGGAGCUUGACGGUACUGUAAGAAUAAGGAUCGGCUAACUCCGUGCCAGCAGCCGCGGUAAUACGGAGGAUCCAAGCGUUAUCCGGAAUCAUUGGGUUUAAAGGGUCCGUAGGCGGUUUAAUAAGUCAGUGGUGAAAUCUGGUCGCUCAACGAUCAAACGGCCAUUGAUACUGUUAGACUUGAAUUACUAGGAAGUAACUAGAAUAUGUAGUGUAGCGGUGAAAUGCUUAGAUAUUACAUGGAAUACCAAUUGCGAAGGCAGGUUACUACUNGUGGAUUGACGCUGAUGGACGAAAGCGUGGGGAGCGAACAGGAUUAGAUACCCUGGUAGUCCACGCCNUAAACGAUGGAUACUAGCUGUUGGGCGCAANUUCNNUGNCU
rnacentral:rRNA from 1 species